GGCGACGGGUGAGUAACACGUGAGCAACCUGCCCCUGACUCUGGGAUAAGCGCUGGAAACGGCGUCUAAUACUGGAUACGAGACGUGAUCGCAUGGUCAACGUUUGGAAAGAAUUUCGGUUGGGGAUGGGCUCGCGGCCUAUCAGCUUGUUGGUGAGGUAAUGGCUCACCAAGGCGUCGACGGGUAGCCGGCCUGAGAGGGUGACCGGCCACACUGGGACUGAGACACGGCCCAGACUCCUACGGGAGGCAGCAGUGGGGAAUAUUGCACAAUGGGCGCAAGCCUGAUGCAGCAACGCCGCGUGAGGGAUGACGGCCUUCGGGUUGUAAACCUCUUUUAGCAGGGAAGAAGCGAAAGUGACGGUACCUGCAGAAAAAGCACCGGCUAACUACGUGCCAGCAGCCGCGGUAAUACGUAGGGUGCAAGCGUUAUCCGGAAUUAUUGGGCGUAAAGAGCUCGUAGGCGGUUUGUCGCGUCUGCUGUGAAAUCUGGGGGCUCAACCCCCAGCCUGCAGUGGGUACGGGCAGACUAGAGUGCGGUAGGGGAGAUUGGAAUUCCUGGUGUAGCGGUGGAAUGCGCAGAUAUCAGGAGGAACACCGAUGGCGAAGGCAGAUCUCUGGGCCGUAACUGACGCUGAGGAGCGAAAGGGUGGGGAGCAAACAGGCUUAGAUACCCUGGUAGUCCACCCCGUAAACGUUGGGAACUAGUUGUGGGGUCCAUUCCACGGAUUCCGUGACGCAGCUAACGCAUUAAGUUCCCCGCCUGGGGAGUACGGCCGCAAGGCUAAAACUCAAAGGAAUUGACGGGGACCCGCACAAGCGGCGGAGCAUGCGGAUUAAUUCGAUGCAACGCGAAGAACCUUACCAAGGCUUGACAUAUACGAGAACGGGCCAGAAAUGGUCAACUCUUUGGACACUCGUAAACAGGUGGUGCAUGGUUGUCGUCAGCUCGUGUCGUGAGAUGUUGGGUUAAGUCCCGCAACGAGCGCAACCCUCGUUCUAUGUUGCCAGCACGUAAUGGUGGGAACUCAUGGGAUACUGCCGGGGUCAACUCGGAGGAAGGUGGGGAUGACGUCAAAUCAUCAUGCCCCUUAUGUCUUGGGCUUCACGCAUGCUACAAUGGCCGGUACAAUGGGCUGCAAUACCGUGAGGUGGAGCGAAUCCCAAAAAGCCGGUCCCAGUUCGGAUUGAGGUCUGCAACUCGACCUCAUGAAGUCGGAGUCGCUAGUAAUCGCAGAUCAGCAACGC
rnacentral:rRNA from 1 species